UCUAAAAAUCACAAGAAAAUCAUCGGAGCACCUUUGAAAGCCUACGAGGUGGGUGCUGCUUUUCAAACUCAUUGAAAUUCUCUCUAUGCCUAAUGUGUCAUUCUUUGAGCAUAUGUUCUAUAUAUUGUUGCAUGCAUUUUAGGGUAAAGUAAUGAUGAAAUGUGAUGAUUGCAUGAUUGUGAGCACAACUUGCAUAAUGAGAUGGUUGAGAACCUAAUAAUGUCAAAACCCUAGAUGUAUGCAUGAGAGAAAAUGUGAGUACCCAAAGUGAGCAAAAGAACAGAGUGGCACAAUGACAUAGAUCGAGUGGCAUUUGAAAAUGUAAAGUAAAGAGACACUAGAGAUAGUGUGAGGUAAAGAACCAAUGUAAUGUAAAGAAUGCUGAAAAUGAUAAUGCUUAAAGUUAACGCAAUGUGGGAAGUAAAGAACGUGAAAAUGCUAGAGGUAGCCAAAAGUAAAGAAUGUAAAGAAUAUAAUUGCUAGAGUUAGCAAAAGUAAAGGACAAUGUAAAGAAUGUGAUUGCAUGAGUUUGCAACAUAAAGUGAUAUAAUGAACACUAGAGCUAGUGUAAAGUCAAGAUUGAACUUAUAGAUCCUUUGAGUUAAGGAUAUGAUCAUGCUUGCUAUGAGUUCCGUGCUCGAGGGCGGUCGCUCCCCCUCGGGCGAUGCGCUCCGGAGUUAUGCAUCCGGGUUGGAGUAAACCCGUAAGGACGGUCCUAGCGGGUGAGUUCCUGCGAUGAUGGACUUAAUGUGAAGCAAGUUAAUGUGGCGAAGCCCCCGGGUUAGCCUUAACGAUUAAAGAACAAAGAACAAAGAGCAAAGAAUAAAGAACAAAGCACAAAGUAAAGUCAAAGAAUUGAAAGAAUUUGCAUAAUCUGCAUUUAUUUAAUGUUGAGCAUACUUCUUGCUUAUUGUUCAGGCAUAUUACCAUCAUGUUAUAGAUUGGUUACUAUACAGCUUAUUCUUUCUACUAUGCCUGAGUUAGUCCUAGUGGGAAAGUCGGUGAUGUUGAGGCCGAACCCACUGGGAACUUUGUUGUAGUUCUCACCCCACUAUUUCCACAGAGCCGGGACCGAGCGAGCCGGCGAGCGACCGAGGUAAAGGUAUCGCGCCUUAGUAAGAGGCCACCAAAGUUGGGUACAUUUUGUUAGCAAACACCCUUUUGUCAUCUUUUGUAUUUGAUGAUUAGCAAUGUGAAGAAAAGAAUGUAAAGCUUAUUUUGAGGUAAAUGUGAUGUAAGAAAGAAAUGAUGGAAUUAUGUAAUGAAAUGUAAAGAAUCCUAAAUGUAACAGAUGGAUGCAAUGUAUAUGAUCUAAUAUGAAUCAUAUUACUUGUGUAGAAGUUUAGUUUUCCUAUCUUUCACUAAUGGCUACUGCUUACCCUCGUGUAAGCCGUUUGUGUAUGUUUCCGCUAGUGCAAUUCUUGUUUGAAUUUUGUACAUGUGAUGAGCCUUGGGCGGACAGGGGAAACUCUGUCCGUUCGGCGUCUGUUUGACGUGCUCGGGUCGGGCCAAAUUGGCAUCGGUCUCGGGGCGUGACAAAUAUGAUGGCAAAGAGUAGUACACAGAUUCUAUCAUGCUCAAAUAUGUCCAACACAAAACUAGUGUGAUCCCACAUGGCAAGCAAGUAUACUAAAGUGCAAAAAGCGCUAUAAACAAGUAUACUAUAAGUCCAAACCUAUGCUAUAAGCAUGUCCAAGAAACCAAACUACUAUAAUCUAUUUAGUAGUGAUUUUUACUUAUGCGACACCAUGUCGAUUUCCAUUUCCCAUUAAGGACCUACCCAAGGUAGUCCGGCUUGCGCCGCCUAAGUGCCUGUGGUAGCCCAACAUUCCCACUUGAGGAAUGAGUCUGUCCCACCCGGCCCCAUAGGCUUCUCAAUACCGCACGAGCGAACAUAAGUCGCAUAGGCUAACUCUGGAGUGCCGGCUUGUAGAGAGCGACCCUCACAAGCAUGUGCGAAUGAGCACAAAUGGCAAGCAAGCGUAGUCAUCGUCUCAAAUGCCCGAUCAUCAUGUUUCUAACAUGGUAACAAUCACUAGCAACCCAUCGGUCUAGUCAAAUGUCCAAUGUGAAGGUUUAACCGUUCAUUAUGUCUAAUGCCCUUCUAUGGCAUUACAUCUCACUAUGCCCAAAUCUUGUUCCAACACUAAUGCCACUCCAUGAUAUUAGGUUUACUAAGUCCACACAUAUUCCAAGCCUAAUGCCCCUUUAGGACAUUAGCUUACUAAUUCACAAACCACUCUAGUCUAAUACCCCUUUAUGACAUUAUCUACUAGGUUCACAUAUAGCCCAAGCUCAAUGUCUCUUUAUGACAUUAGCUUACUAAGUUCACAUAUAGUCCAAGCUCAAUGUCUCUUUAUGAUAUUAGCUUACUAAGUUCACAUAUAGCCCAAGCUCAACGCCUCUUUAUGACAUUAGCUUACAAAGUUCACAUAAUAUUCAAGUUCCAAGCCACUUCAUGGCCUAAUGUUUCCUCAUAUGACCAAGGGUAUAUAUAAUCAUUGUCAUUUCACUAUAUGAAAAAUAAUUCUAAGUCCCAAAUACGAAUGCUAAACUCAUGCAUAAGUCUCACAUGCAAGCUCUCUACUACAUAGAAGUCCAAAAAUGCAUUGUAUACAACAUAAGUAUUUUAAGCAUUCUAAAAUUUAUAAAUAAUACAUCUAACAUGAAAAUGCAUGAUUUUUUAUUUUACGAUACAUAAAUCCACAAAAAUGAGAUUUUCUCAUUCUUAGGUGAGGUCAAAUCCACCGAGCACCGCUAAAACUCCUUCGUUUCGCCGAAUGGAGUUGUCCACAAUUCUCCUAGUACCCUAAAGGUCACAAGAGAAGAGAUACACGUACGUUACAAAAAGCCCUAGGCUCAAACAUUAACCAACUCACGUAAAGGGGCAAAAACUCACCUAUAGUGUAGAAAUCCCCUUUAAAAUCCUAAAUGGAAGCUAAAUCCCUUCCAAAGCAACCUAAACCAAGGUUCUAAUCCAAUUAGAUGAGCUCUAAAAGCUUCAAAUCAAAAAGCCCCAAAUAAACCCUAGAUUUUUCAUCUCUACGGUUUCAUCUCAAGAAAACCUCCAAAAACCAAAUCUAGAGGGAAAGAAUAAGAUGCUAACCUCUUUGAAGCUUUAAAUAAGGAUCAAAGUCCUCAAGGUUCAAGGAUCUUCCCUCAAGCAAGCCCCAAGUCCAAGCUCCAAGCCUCUACCAAGGUGGAAAGGCCACCAAGAUGCAAAGAGAAGCAAAAUGAAGCAAUUAGAUUUCAAAAAUCCCAACAAAAUCAAGGAGAAGGGAUGGAGGGCUCCCUUACCUUCCUCUCUAGUGUUCUCAGCUCAGGGAAGAACCUAAGGGGCGUGGGUGAUGGUAUAGAAGGCCACAAUCGCAAAAACACCCCUGCAGUUCGACCUGUUCAGAUUCUGCCAAAGUGUAUCGGUACACGGGCAAGUGUACCGGUACAGAUCCCACGAAAAAGGCAAACCCGAGUCUCGGGUUUGAAAUUCGGCACAAGUGUACCGAUACAACCAUCAACGUGUACCGGUACAAAAUCUGUACCGGUACAACCAGCGACCUGUCACCGAUUUCACCAUGUGCAGAGAGCAAUCCGAGGGUAACCUAAGUCCAUCUCUUUGGUGACCUUAGCGCUACAUAAAAUACUACAAAUCUCGGGAUACGAGCCAUAGGUCGGAACACUAUAAACGAUCCACCAAAAAAUCUGGAAAAACUCAAAACACAGUUCAAACACUCAAACCCCGCAAUUUGCAAAGAUUCAGUGUGUUAAUAAAGUCACCGACGGCCAUGGAAAUAUCAAGAUAUGCUAAAUUGGCUUCUUACUAUGGGGCUCAUGACGGUUGUAAAUAACCAUUCCAGCGGUUCAUUUCAUAGCUAUAAAUAACCCUACUUUGUAAUUCAAGUUUGAAAGAUGUAAAACACGCUGGUAAACUAUAGAAUUAUCAUAGAUUUUUUAGUAGUAAAUGUAAUUCGAAAUGUAAUAUAGUUGUAAGUGUAUGCAGUUGUAAAUGCAGUUGUAAACGUAGCAGUUAUGACCAUAUAUUAAUUCAUUUGGUUGGAUGUAGUAUAAAGUGCUGGAAUUAUAAAAAAAUUAUUUUGUUGCAUAGUUGAGAACUAGUUAAGUGACCCGCGCGAUGCCGCGGGUAGUUAUUUUAAAAUUUAAUUUUGAAAAUUAGUUAUAAAAAUCAAUUUCAGAAUAAUUAUGAAAUAUUACGGACAAAUUAUGAAAUAAUUUUAAAUAAAUGCAUCUAUCUUCCCUAAUAUAGAAAAUAUAAGGAGCUUUCUCAACAAUAAGAUAUUUUGAAAUAGUUCUUCAACUUUAUUAAAUAUUUUCUUAUCUUGUUAUCUUUUGUUUAAUUUUAUAUUGAUAAUUUUGUAAGGUUAUCUAUAAUAUUUCAAAUAUUUUCAUGGGUACGAAUGAAAUUAUCCCAUAAUAAUUAUUUCAAACAUGACCACAUGUCUAAGGGAUUGAGAAAUAAUAAAUGGUGCAAUAAGUACAUCAAAAAAUUUUAGUAGGCAUGGUAGUCCCCCAUUAGUUAGUGAAAUAAUUUUUAGUAGGUAUCGUAGUCCCCCAGUAGUUACUGAAUGAAAAGAGAAAUUAUUGCUUGUGAUUCUCGCAAUUAACUUUCGUCAAAUAUAAAAUUAACUUAAGCCGCAUCAAUCUUUUUUCUCAUUUUUUGAUGUACAAUUUAUAUGUGAAUGCUCAAUAUUAUAAAAUUAAUAUUUAUAUCUAAUACCAAUAGUCUAAAUUAUUUAACAUUUAUUUAUAUAUUUUACAUUUUAUACAAAUAAAUAGUAAAUUAUAUAAUUAUAUAAUAAAUUAUUAUAUAAUAAUAUAUCUAUAUAAAAAUAAAAUACUAUAUAUAAUAAAUAAAUAUAUAUAUUUAUAAAUAAAACAUUUUUUUAUAAAAAUAUAGAGAGAGAGAGAGAGAAUGAAAGGGACCUCCCUCUCACGUGGUCCACGAGGUCGAAGUGCCCUCGUGGACCCGUGAAAACCACCAUGAGCCGCGAUUUUUUUCGGCUCCGCGCAGACCGCGCCGUGCCGCACCGGCGCUCGGCGCCCAGCGCGGCGCGCGGGCCCACGCCCACGCUCUCGCGGUCCCCGCACCCACACGCUUACGCCGCGCCCGCGCCCUCGCGCAACCCACGCCGUGCCCGCGUGAACCGCCCGCGCCUGCGCCCUCGCCGCGCCACGCCGUGCCGGGCCCCGCCCCCGCGCCUGCUCCUGUUCGCGGCUCCGCUGCCACGUGUUGCCCUCCCGUUGAAGUUAUUGAUGAAUAAUAUAUCUAUACAAAUGGCAUUUGUAAAAUUUUAUUGCUUUAUAUAUGUGGUAAUCUGAUUACUCUAAUGUAAAAAAGAAAUAUUUCUAUUUAAAAAAUAAUUAGAAAGAUAAGCUUAUCUUCUAUUUAAAGUUAUUUCUUUAAAUUACUGUAGUUGAGUCUCCUUAUAUAUGCCCCAGCGGUUGAAUUCACACACAUUAAACCAAACACCAUAUUUAAAUUUAUAUACAGUUACAACUAUAUUAUAAUUGUAACUAUAUAAAAUCAAACAAUUCCUGAACACACUUAAUGAUUGAUGCUCAAGAUCUCAAAUUCGAAAUAUAAUUAUUUUAUAUUUUUUAUUUAGAAAUAAACUUACUGAAAAUGUGAACAAAUUAAGAUUCGAACUUGGGACCUUGAAUACCAACCGUCAAACUCUUUACCAUUUGUGUCGGUUAAUCUACUGUCACCAUUUACAUUAAAAUCCCUAACAUCAGUUAUUCAUUUUAAUAAAAUCGCCUUAUGUUGAAGACGAAAAUUGUCACGUCAGCAUCAAUUAAUCUAAGUUUGCUGCCGCCGCAGCCAUGAAGCAAUUUUCAUCAAAAUUAACAGAACACUUUUUAUCGAAUGGGAAUUUGAUCGGAAGAAAUAGUAAACGCUCGAAACUCGACCCAAGAAAUUAAAGCAAAAGAAAAAAUAAAAGUUAGGAACCAAGGUGAUGCGAUCGAUUAACCCAAACGACACUUCGGCUGCUACACCAACACUCGUACACGGGGGAGAGGAAGAACAAACGGAAGAUACUAACAAACAAACAAACCCCGGCACCCUCCUCCUCCUCCUCUUCUUCUUCUUCUCCUCUUUAUCACAUUACAACGCACGCAUUUGCAUUCUCCUCGCUGAAGAAGUAAUACGAAUCCGGCGGCGCCGUCACGGGCGGCGCAGUCCAGUAGACGUACCCGCUGCCGCCGCUCUGUUGCGCCGCCGCCGUCCCCGGAAAGUAGUACGCUGCACCGCGGCUCGCGCUCGGCCGCACAGCACUGUAGCUCACCACAUACGCCGGCACAUGAUUCUCCACCAUUCCAUUACCGCCGCCACCACCAUUACCACCUUUUAUUGCCACCGCCCCCUCCGAAGCCCCACCGCCGCCAUUGUGGCCUUUCUUUCCCUUCUUCUUUCCGCCGCCGCCGCCGCCGCCGCCGACGUCUGGUUUGGGCUGCUUCGGCUGGUCCUUGCCGUCAGCUUUGUCGGGCUUAUCUGAUUCCUCUGCGGACGAAGCGGCGGCGCCGUCAUCACCGUCAUCGUCGUUAUCAUCAUCGUUGUCCGUAUCCGCGCCAUGCUCAUUGGCGGCGGGGAGUUUAGGUGCGGCGGCAGCGGCGGGGGCGGCGGCAUUGGGCUUAUUCUUGUUCUUGCUCUUCUUCUUCUUCUUCUUCUUCUUGGCACCGCCGGGGGAGUCUGCAGAAGUGGCGUCGGGUUGGGGUUCUUGGGGCCAGAGCUCGGCAUGCUUGCCCGUCUUGAGGAGCUUCUUGAUGAGGGCGUCGGCCUCCACGUUCCCCGUCACCACCACCUUCUGCUGCGGCACGUCGAUGCUCGUUUUAUACACCCCUGUAUAUAUAUACAAUGCAUACAUACAUGAACAGCACGCGCGCACACACAAUAUAUGAAAAAGGGUGGAAAUAUUUGAAGAUGCCGAUGGGGUUUUUGGUGUUUUUGUGCGGUGAUUGCACCAAAGUGGGAUUUUGAUGCGAUUUUUGAUAGAGAGGGAUUGUGCCAAGAAGAACGGGAUUUUGAUGAAGGAAUGGCAACAAUGAUGGGAUUUUGGUGUCCGAAUUGUACAAGAAAGAUGAUGUUUUGUUGUUGGGACCAAAGAAGCGAUUUUUUAUCAAGUAAUUGCACCGAGUUGGGGUUUCGGUGAAGGAACUGCAGCAGCAAUAAAAAGAUAUGGGAUUUUUUUUUUUUUUUUUUUUUUUUUUUGAAGAAGAAGAAGAAGUUGCACCGAAAUUGGGAUUUUGAUAAAGGAAUUUCGACAAGGAAGCAAAAAAAAAAGAAAAAGAUGGGGUUUUUGUGAAGGACUUGCACCAAAAAUAGACGGGGUUUUCAUGGAGAAAAUUGCGCCAAGAAUGGGAUUUUGAUGAAGGUAUUGCACUUAAGAUGGGAUUUUGCUUAGGGAAUUGUAACAAGCAAGGGAUUUUGAGAAGGAAUAGUACAAAAGAAAGGUUUUGAAGAACGAAUUGUAGAUUUUGAUGAAGGAAUUGCAGCAGCAAAGUUGGGGUUUCGAUGAAAUAAAAUUUGCACUGAAGAUGGGGUUGGACGACUAAAAAAAAAUAUUAUUUUGCAACAAAGAUGGGAAUUCUGAUAAAGGGAUAAAAGGGUGCACGUGAACCCAAAGAGGGGAUUAAUUGGGGAUUAAGGGACGUUGGUAGAUAUUUAAUUAGAAACUUGAUUCAUCUAAUUAUACCUUCUAUGGAAUGGAGCACCUUCUUCACCUUCUUCUUGCAUCCUUCACAGUGGAUGGAGACCUUCAAAACCCAUGUCUAAAAAGAAAAAAAGAAAUCAACUAAUCGAUUAACUAAUCAAUCAACACCAUUAAAAAGCACAAUAAAAUUACCAACUUUUUUUUUUUUUUUUUUUUUUUUGCUUAUUUGUGAUUCAAAAAUAGGAAACACCAUGUUGAGAAAGCAGGGGAAAAAAUUGAACAGAGGAGGGGAGAAGAGGAGGAGAGAAUCAACCACCUGGUAUUUGAGUGGUUCUGGGCCUUCUUCUGCUGAGGCCAUUAGAGAGAGAGAGAGAAAGAGAAGAGAUUAAUGGAGAGUGUGAGGAGAGAGAGAGAGAGAGAGGAGAGAGAAAGAGGAAUGAGAGAGGAAACUACUUCAAAAGGGAGGGAAUGAGAAGAAAAGAGGAAAGGAGGAGAGAGAGAGAGAGAGUUGGGAAGUGAGUCUGUGAGUGUGAGAGAGAGAGAGAGAGAGAAGAGUUUUGAUGUAGAGAAGCGGACUCCAGCUACAACGGAACGGAAUUAUUUGAUACCGAACGCAGACGUUUCUAGAUAUAUGAAUACAAAAGCUCAAAAACUGGUGUAUGAGUUUAAUCUAUACUCGUUUCCAAUAUAAACCCUAUCCGAAUUCAAAUAAAUUUUAUAUUACAUAAUAUAUAAAUAUUUAAUUUUAUAUUUAACUUUAUAAUUUAAGAUUUAGAUUUUACUAUAAUAUAUUUUAAAAUAUGGUAAAGAAAAAUAUUUAUUUUAGAUUCUAGUUUUGGAGCACAGGUUCAGUUUGGUGUUUUUGACUUGAGUUCCGUUUCUAAUACAGAUUUUAAAAACCUGUUGGGUUUGAGUACGAAUUUGAAUGUCAGGUCUAACUGUCAGAUUCGAAUUUGGAAUUUUAAAAAUUCAUCUUGAACUCGACCCAAUUGACGUCCCUACGAAGCAUUGUAUAAUUCAAACCAUUAAUAGAAUCACAGUCCAGCUACUAUUUUCUGGUUUUUUAAGGACAUAAAUAUAGACUUUUAACUCUUGGAAUGACUAGAUUUUAGAAGGGGUAGAUGAAUAGUAUUUGACUCAAUGGUUAAAAGUUUAUAAUAAUAUUAAUAUUAAUUAAUAUACAUUAUUUAUGUUCUCCUAAAAAGAACAUAGUGGACUCGUCCUAUGUCUAGAAUUUUGACCAUUCUUAAGAAAGCCUACAUAUUUUUAAAAUUUUUUUUUUUCUUUCUUCAUUUUUAUCUCUAGUUCAAAAAUUUUUUAAAUAUUGAAAAAGUUCUUCCGUCCACAAUUGAAAGCCCCAACCAGCCCAAAAACUGUACUAGAGAGCUCUAUGAUAAAGAAGGCAAUUGUGAGCCGUUGGAUUAUAAACUGCAUGAGAUUUCAAAACAAAUUAAAUUAUGAAAUUUCUUAGUUUUGGUCUUCAAUUUUAUAACUUGGUUGUUUUGUAUACUAUGUUUAGAUUGGAUAAUCGUUAUCUACAUCUUCUACUUUUUUGUAUUUUUUUGCUAAGCUUUGGGAAUCCUCUUUAACUUAAAGCCAAUUUGCAUAAAAAAUCUAUUAGUUUUGAGUUUUUACAAAAAUAGGCCGUCUUUUUAGAUUUUACAGAUUCGGACCGAAUUUUUAAAAGGAUGACCAAACUACCCUUUUUCAAAAUACAUAAAAAUUAUAUGCUUUAAAUACCCAGAAAAAUACAACUGCUAAGCUAUUAAGUGUAAAAUUUUUUUAAAAUAACAAUUUCUUGAAAAUUACAAUUGCUAAGUCAUAAGUAUAUGUACCUUUCUCGUGAAACGAAAAUUCUCAUUCAAGAUAAAAUAAAAAAAUAAAAAAAUAAUUAAUAAGAUGAAAGAGUGCAAUAUCCUCUCAAAUAGUGCAACAUGCUCUUCCAAAUAGUACAAUAUCUAUAUAAAUAGUGCAACAUAUACAUUGUUAAUACACAUUUUGUAUAGUUUUUAUACUAAAUUACGUACAGUUUAGUAUAUUACGUGAAAAUAACAUAAUAUAUUACAACAUACUAUAAAAAUUAUGGCUUAGCAGUUAUCAUUUUCAAGAAAUUUGGCACUAUAUUUAAUAUGCAAUCAAAUUUAAUUUUCAAAGAGAAAGAGUGCAACACACAUCUAAAUUGUGCAAUAUCCUCUCAUAAUAGUGCAACAUUUACAUAAAUUGUGUAAAUAUCUGUACAAAUAGUAUAAAAUAUACACCGUUUGUACAUAUAUUGUAUAAUUUUUAUAGUAUGUUGUAAUAUAUUAUAUUAUUUUCGCACAAUAUAUUAAAUGUACGUAAUUUAGUGUAAAAUUAUGCAAAAUGUGUAUUAACAAUACAUAUGUUGCAUUAUUUAUACAGAUAUUUCACUAUUUGGGAGAGCAUGUUGCACUAUUUGAGAGGAUGUUGCGCUCUUUCAUCUUAUUAAUUAUACUUUAUUCUUUUUAUUUUAUCUUGAUGAGAAUUCUUGUUUUACGAGAAAGAUACAUGUAAUUAUGACUUAGCAGUUGUCAUUUUUAAAAAAUUUUACACUUAAUGGCUUAGCAGUAGGGCUGGCAAAUGAGCGAGCUGGCUCGCGUUCGACUCGCGUUCGACUCGAUAUUUGGCUCGCUCGAGCUCGACUCGAAAUUAAAUGAACCGAGCUUGAACAAAAAAAAAGGCUCGAAAUUCAUUUCAAGCCGAGCUUGAGUAUUACUCGGCUCGUUCGAAUUAGGCUCGAAAAGCUCGAAUAUAUAUAUAUAUAUAUUAGAGCUAAUAUGCUAUCGAAAGUAUAGAGGAUCUGGUGCUUUCGAUUUUUUGAUUCUUAGAUCAACCCCUUUAAUCAUUUUUUAUUUUUUGAUUAAUACUAUUAUUAUCUUGUAGGGACCACUCAAUCAUAGGGGUAUUAUUUAAUCCUAGGGAAGACCGCAAUCAUCCCAACCAUACAAUUCUUAAUCAAAUGGUCAAAAAUUCGAAAACAUCAAAUCCUCUAUAUUUUCGAUAGCAUAGAAGUUCUACACUCUAUAUAUAUAUAUAUAUAUAUAUAUAUAUUAUAUAAUAUAUAUAUAUAUAUAUAUAUAUAUAUAUAUAUAUAUAUAUAUAUAUAUAUAUAUAUAGACUAGAGUGAAUAAUCUCAGUUUAGUUAAAAUUGGGCAAUGUUGUUGCCCAUAAAACAAAUCCAAUAACAAAUAAAAGAGCAAAAUUCACUAAAUUUAUACAUUUCCUUUUCUUUCUUUCUAUCAAGAGCUCUAAAUUUCAAUAUGUUUCUCUCUUCUCUUUUUCUGUCUCUAACCCUAAUUGGCCAAGCCGAAAGCCCUCCAAGUUACCAACUAAACAGCAUAUGCCCGCCGUUGACUACCUAUUAUUAAUUUUAUACUUGAGAAAAUAUACAGAAUAUUUUAAAAUAAAAAAUUAUUACAUAUAAAAUUUAAUUUUAGUUAUAUAUGAUUGAUAGUUUAAUCUAAAUAUUUAUCUAUAUAAUUUAUUUAUUUUUGACUGCAUAAAUGGAAAUGAAUAAUAUGGUGAUUGAAGGCGGAAGAGAAGACAUGUGAGGCUGAAAAGAUUAGAUAUUUAACUCAUAAAUUAUUUUUCUUCAUAUUAUAAUACUAUAUUUCAUAUAAUUAUUUUGUACUUUGAACUAUUAGACAUAUUUUUCUAUCAAAUUAUAGAUAAUGUUCUAUACAAAUUAAACUAUUGAUCGUAUGAUGUUGAGAAUUUCAAGCAGCUCGUUUAGGGCUCGAGCUCGCUUGACUCGAAAUUAGGCUCGCUUGAGCUCGGCUCGAAUUAAUUUCAAUCCAAGCUUGAGCUUAAAUUUAGGCUCGAAAUUAAUUUCAAGCCGAAUUUGAGCCGAGGUAAGCUCGCUCGAGCUCAGCUCGUUUCCACCCCUACUUAGCAGUUGUAAUUUUUCUAGGUAUUUAAAACAUAUAAUUUUUAUGUAUUUUGAAAAAUGGGUAGUUUGGUCAUCCUUCUGACGAUUAGGCCCAAAUCUGCAAAAUCCAAAAAGACGGCUUACUUUUGCAAAAGCUUAAAACUAAUAGAUUUUUUAUACAAAUUGGCCUUAACUUAAUUUCCCUGUUGCUGCUAAUUUUGUUUUGGGUUUUUUUUUUUUCCGUCAUUACAUUGCUUAAAACUACGCCAGCAAGCUCUAUUCCAUUUCAUGAAUGAAUUAAUGAAGGCCUAGGACUUAUCCUCUCAAAAAAAAAAAAAAAAAAGAAAAAGAAAAGAAAAAAAACUGAAAUAAAAAAAAUUCAGAAUGUUUUGGUUCUAUUUUUAUAUAGAUUCUGUCUCAAUUCAGAAUAAUGAAAAACUAAAUCAAAACGAAAAUUUAGAAUAAUGAAAAACUAAAUCAAAACGAACUGUAUCGAGCUUACAUUGCUCAAAUUAAUCAGUUUAACUUAAAAACCAAACUUACCUGUGUUGAUGUUUCAGCUUAAUUACAUCCUACUACACUAUACUUCAAUGAUAUUUUUAUUUGUUAUAUUAUACUAUUUUUUUAAACGAUAUUAUUGAACUAUCAUUUUCUAUUAAUUUUAUAGUGUAUUUGUAUUUUUAUUUUUAUUUUCUAUUCUAUACUUUUUUUUUCAAAGAUAUUAUUAAACUACCAUUUUCUCGUCAUUCUAUAAAAUACUGUCAAUAAAUUUAUUUAUUUAGAUAGAAACUUUCUUUGUCCCACCAAAGAUAGAAGAUGUUGAAGGAAGGAGAAUAGUAAAAAGAUGAAUCCUUUUUUAUAAAUCAGACGAUCAAAAAUCCACUGAUAUCAUCGGACAAGAGGAUUAUGAUGAUGAUAUAUUUGAGGAUAUAGAAAUCCCAAAUUAUUUUUCAGCUAACUUGAAAAAGAUGAUACACAAGUUAGGUUGCCCCACAAGGAAGUGUUGGACCAAUCACAAAUUCUUUCAACGAAUGUGGAAUCCACCGCAAAGAAGAUCCAUACUCCCAAAUGGCAAAUCUAGCAAUACCAGAGGCCUAGGAUAUUACAGAAGCUCCACUUAUCAAGAUAUUUAUAUGUAACACACUGGACUUUUACAAAUUGUAAGGUUCGAGUAUUUGAUCUGUGAUUUGAGUUUUUUCAAAUAUUCUGUAGGGUCGUAGACUGUAAUAUACCGAAAAUUUGAAAAAUAAAUAUCGAACUUUAGUCAAAUUGACCAAAGUGCGAGGAUGGUACACUUCGGAAAGUCCGAAGGUGUUAAAAUGAGUAAAAGUGCGUUAUGGGAGGUUUUCGAGAGCUAAAAAAUCAAAAAUCUGUAAAUUGCAGUUUUUGAGAUCUCGGGGACCGGUCCCUGGUGGGAGAGACCGGUCCCCGAACGCGUGAGAAAUGAGAAAGACCGAAAAUCGGCUAAGUCCCAGAAAACCAGCUCUCGGGAACCGGUCCCUGCGGGGAGAGACCAGUCCCCGAGAGUCCGGUCUCCCUGGGAGAGACUGGUUGCCCCGUGCAAAAGGCCCCGCUGAGCUGCGGGAGAGCUCUCUGGGACCGGUCCCAAGUCGGGGAGACCGGUCCUCGAACCCGAAAACUGCCGAGUUCAAGCAGUUUAAUAAAAUGAAAGCUGAGGGGUCUAAAUGCAAAGUUGCAUUAUAUGGGUUGUGUUGAGGGGUUGUGAAGGCUUAUUUCUCAUUCCCUCACCCUAUCACACUCUUCUCUCUCUUUCUCUCUCUUGAAGACAAGAAGGAGAAGAAGAAGACAAAGAAAAGAAAGGAAAAGAAGAAGAAGAAAAGGAGAAAGAAGGUGAAGAAGAAGGCAAGGAGGAGAAGAAGACCCCUCCUCUCCUUCCCUAGCUUGGAAAAGGAAAGCUUACAAGGUAAGCUUUGAACCCCAAUAGUGGUAAAGCUCAAACUAGGGUUUGGAUGGACCUAAAAAUGAUUUUAAUGAAACCUUUAGAGUAUUUGGAGCUAUCUUUUGCUUCCUUUUGAGAUUAAAACCAUGGAUUGGUGUGGAGGAAGUGAAGCUUGAAGUAAAGCUUCAACCCCUCUCAUGGUAGAAUCCAAAUUAGGGUUUGGAUUGAAGUAAAGAUGAUUUUAAUAGAGUUCUUAGGGUAGAUUGAAGCUUCUUUUGCUUCUUAAUGAGAUCAAACCUGUAAUAUACCAAAACUUCGGAAAAUAAAUAUCGAACUUUAGUCAAAUUGACCAAAGUGCGAGGAUGGUACACUUCGGAAGGCCCGAAGGUGUUAAAAUGAUCAAAAGUGAGUUGUGGAAGGUUUUCGAGAGCUAAAGAAUCAAAUUCUGCAAACUGCAGAGUUUGAGCUCUCGGGGACCGGUCCCUAGUGGGAGAGACCGGUCCCCGAACGCGUGCAGAGUGAGACAGCCGAAAAAUCGGCUAAGUCCUGGAAGGACAGCUCUCGGGAACCGGUCUCUGUCUGAGAGACCGGUCCCCCAGAGACCGGUCCCCCAAGGAGGGACCGGAUGCAUUGCGCGCGGCAGCUCUGGCUGCGCAGGGCGGGCCUUCGGGGACCGGUCCCUGCUCGGGGAGACCGGUCUCUGCCUGCGAAAACUGCCCAGUCCAGGCAGUGCACAGAGAUAAAAGUUGAGGGGUUUAUUUGCAUUUUUGCAACCCAUUGAGCUAUGUUAGGGGGCUGAGGGGCUUUUUCUCUCAUUUCUCACCCUCUCACACUCUCUCCUCUCUUUCUCUCUCUAGAAGACAAAGAAGGAGAAGAAGAAGAAAGGAAGAAAGGAGGAAAAGAAAGAGAAGAAGGUGAAGAAGAAGCUUUUGGAGCAAAGAGGCUUCAUCUUCUUCCUCCCUAGUGCAAGAAAAGGAAGCUUACAAGGUAAGCUUUGAACCCUAAUGUAGUAAAACCCUAGAAAUGGGUUUGAAUGAACCUAGAAAUAGUUUUUAAUGGAAUAUCUAGUAGUUUUGAAGCUUUCUUUUGCUUCUUUAGAGAUCAAAACCAUGGUUGAGCUCAACGUAAGCUUCAACCCACCUCUAAUGGUGAAAUCCAAACUAGGGUUUGGAGUGAGCUAAGAAUGGUUCUAAUGGACUAUUUGGAGUAUAGUGAAGCUACUUUUGCUUCCCAAUGAGAUCAAACCCUAGGUUUUGUAUAUGUAUUGGAGCUAGGGCACCGAAUUGGGGCUUUUGCUCAUGAGGGUUUCUAAGUGCAAUUGACCCUCCAAAAACCUAAUUGGGGGUAUUUCCGACGCGUUGGUGCGCUCGGAUUAACGUUACGAAAAGUCAAAGUAAAGUUAUGAGCAAAAUGGCCUAAUAAGGGUUCGUUCGUUUGCGGCAGGAAAGAACGAAGCAUCUAAAAAUGCUCGCCAAGAAAAUAUCGGAAGCAGAAACCUUUGAAAGCCUACGAGGUGGGUGGUGGCUUUUUCUCAAAAACUCAUUGAAAUUCUCUCUAUGCUAAUGUGUCCAUUCUUGAGCAUAUGUUAUAUGUAUUGUUGCAGCAUUUUAGGGGUAAAGUAAUGCAUGAAAUGUGAUGAUUGCAUAAUUGUGAGCAACAAACUUGCAUAAUGCGAGAACUCGAGUUGCGAGACCUAAUCUAAACUGUAAAACCCUUAUGGUAUGCAUGAGAAGAAAAGUGAGCACCCAAAGUGGACCAAAAGAAAGAGUGGGCAACAAUGACAUAGAUCGAGUGCAUUGAUAAAGUAAUGUGAAAUGACACUAGAGUUAUGGUAAUGUAAAGAACUAAAUGAUGGUAAAGAAUGAAGAAAGGUGACAACGUGUAAAGUUAGAAGUAAAAGACAAUGCAAAGAACAAUGAUGCAGAGUUAGCAAGAGUAAUAAUAAAUGUAAGAAGAAUGAUUGCAAUGAGUUUGCAAACAUAAAGUGAUGUAAAGAACACUAAGCUAAGUGUAAAUCAAGAUUGAACUAUAAUCCUUUGAGUUAGAGGAUAUGAUCAAUACUUGCUGUUGAGUUCCGUGCUGCGGGCGUCCCCUCCGGGCGAUGCGCUCCGGAGCGUCUAUGCAUCGCGGGUUGGGAGUAGACCCGUAAGGCAGGUCCUAGCGGUGAGAUACCUGCGCAUGCCUGGACCCUUACACGUGAGGUGCAGUUAAUGUGCGAAACACCCCCGGGUUAGCCUUUAAUGAGUUAAAGAGCAAAGAACAAAGAAUAAAGAACAAAGAGUGAAGUGAAAAGAAGCGAAAAGAACAUGCAUAACUGCAUCUAUUAAUGUUGAGCAUAUUCCUUGCUUUUGUCUCAGGCAUAUUAAGCAUCAUGUUAUACCGAUUGUUUACAUGAUUCUCAGCUAUCCUUUCUAUUAUGCCCUGGAGUUCAGAUCCUACGUGGGAGAAAGAUCGUGAUGUUCUUGAGGCCCGCACUGGCCGAACUUCGUUGCUACAGUUCUCACUCCCACUAUUUCGCACAGGCCGGGACGAGCGAGCCGGCGAGCGACCGAGGUAAAAGGUAUCGCGCCUUAGACCAGAGGCCUCCCGAUGUUGGGUUCAUUUUGUAGUAAAUACUCUUAUGAUCAUCUUUAUUGUUUUGAUGAUUUUAGCAAGAAAGAAAGAAUGUAAAGCUUAUUUUGAAGGUAACAUGUGUUUGUACAAGGAAGAAAUGAUGUAGAUUAUGUAGAACUGCAAAGAAUUCUAAUAUAUAGAGAUGGAUCGCAAUGUAUAAUAUCCUAAACAUAAUCAUAUUACUUGUGUAGAAUGUUUAGUUUCCUUUCUCUUUUCACUUAAUGGCUACUGCUUACGCCUCGUGUAAGCCGUUGUGUAUGUUUCCGCUAGUGGCUUUCUCUCUUUGAAUGAAAAUGUGGCAUUGUGAUGAGCCUUGGGCGGAUGGGGGGGGUCAGAACACUCUGUCGUCUCGGCGUCCUGUUUGGACGUGCUCGGUCGGAGCCAAGAAUUGCAGCGGUCCGGGGGCGUGAACAAAACCCUAGGUUUUGGCGUACCAUGAAGCUAGGGGCACGCCAAUUGGGGCCUUUUGCUAGUGAGGGUUCCAAAAAUGAAUAUUGACACUUCUACGACCUAACUAGGGGUAUUUCCGACGCGUUGGUAAUGCUCGAUUUGACGUUACGAAAAGCCAAAUGUAAAGAUAUGAGGCAAAAUGGCCUAAUGGGCUCUCGUUUUGCCGCAGGCUAGGCAAACGAAGCAGGCUGAAAAAUCCAAGAAAAUCGUGUACAUCCUAGUACGCCUACGAUGGUGGGUCGUGCUGCUAUCCAAACUUCGUUGAACUUCCUUUUAUGCCUAAGUGUCAUUCAAUUGAGCAUAUUUAUAUACAUUGUUGCAUGCCAUUUAGGUAGGGGUGGAAACGAGCCAAGCUCAGCAGCGAGCUUAUGUCAGCCUCAAUUCGGCUUGAAAUUAAUUUCGCAGCCCUAAAUUUAGGCUUAAGCUUUGCUUGAAAUUAAUUCGCCCGAGCUCGAGCGUGUCAAUAUAUCCCAACCAACUCGAAAAUAAAUAUUCGAACCUUUAGUCAAAUUGACCAACAGUGCGAGGAUGGUACACUUCGAAAGCCCGAAGGGGAUAAAUGAUCAAAAUGAGUUGUGGGAAGGUUUUCGAGAGCUCAAGAAUCCCAUUCUGCAAAACUGGCAGAUGUUUUCAGCUCUCGGGGACCGUCCCUGAAGAGGAAGACCGGUCCCCGAACCACGUAUAAGAUGAGACAGCCGAAAAUCGGCUAAGGCUUCCUGAGAACAGUACUCUCGGGAACCGGUCCCUGUGCCGACGAGACGCGUCCCCGAGAGACCCGUCCCCACAAAGGAGAGACCGUUGCACUGGCGCGAAGCAGCUCUGGCUUGCGCUCGGGACGACGUUCGGGAACGCCGGUCCCUGCUCGGGAAUAAGACUGGGUCCCUGCCUGGCGCGAUCCGCCCUAGUUCGGCAGGUGUAUUGUAAAGUGAAAGUUGGAGGGUUUAUGCUGCAAUGUCUGAUGCAUUUAGGGUAAAUAGAGAGAUUUCUCUCAUUUCUCGCCUUCAUUCGCUCUCAUCACCUCUUUCCUCUCUCAGAAGCACGAAAGACAGGAGCAACAAAGAACGAACAAAGGAGGAGGGAAAAUAACAGGACAAGAAAAAAGGCAAAGAAGAAGAGCCGAAGUGAGACAAACCUCUCCUCUUCCCUUCUUUAGACUGGAACAAAGGGCAGUUUAAGUAAGCUUGCCCCUUCCUCAUGCUAAAUCCAACAACACGGUUUGGCAUUAACCUAGAAAUGGUUUUAGGGAGUAUUUGAAGGGUUUUGAAGCUUUCUUUUGCUUCUUUUAAGAAAGAUCAAAACGCUAGAUUUGCUAUAAGACGGUAGCCAGCUUGGCNNNNNNNNNNNNNNNNNNNNNNNNNAAAAGAAUGUAAAGCUUAUUUUGAGGUAAAUGUGUUGUAAGGAAGAAAUGAUGAGAUUAUGUAAGAACUGCAAAGAAUUCUAAAUGUAAGAGAUGGAUGCAAUGUAUAUGAUCUAAAAUGAAUCAUAUUACUUGUGUAGAAUGUUUAGUUUCCUUUUUCUUUCACUUAUGGCUACUGCUUACCCUCGUGUAAGCCGUUGUGUAUGUUUCCGCUAGUGCUUUUCUCUAUUGAUGAAAAUGUGCAUGUGAUGAGCCUUGGGCGGAUAGGGGAAACUCUGUCCGUUCGGCGUCUGUUUGACGUGCUCGGGUCGGGCCAAAUUGGCAGCGGUCCCGGGGCGUGACAAAA
rnacentral:lncRNA from 1 species